UUUCCAGUUACUUUAGACCAUCCAUCCUCUCUUUCAUAUCUCUUCUCCAAACUCUUCGCCUACUCUAACUUGCCAAAAUCAAGCAAAGAUUAUAUCGAAAACACUAUCCCCCUACAAUCACUUUCCACUUCUUCUCUAACAUACUUAGGAAACCUUUUUCUCAAACAACACCGUUCCCCUUUCUUUAGGCCUUCAAUAGCCAGCAAGUAAGAAACUUCAUUCAUCUAUAUAUCAAUGUGUUUGAAUUGAAAGGUACAAAAUCUUUUACUAAGCCCUUUCCCAUCUCUAAUGUAAUAUAGAUAUCUGAUUUAUCAACACAUUCUCUCUGUAAUUUUCUAACAACAAAAAGGGUAUCGCCUUCAAUUUUGACCUCCAUAAGCCCCAGAUCCAGACCCAGUUGAAUAUUUUGAAUGCGUGCAAGGGACUCUUCUAUGAACACAGAUGGUAUCUUUUCAUUUAUCUCAACUCUAGAGCUCAAUUCCAUGCCAUCAGAAUCUCUAAUUACAAUCCUUAAGCAGGAUUUAUUUUCAUGUUUCCUGAAUGCUGCGUCAAAGUUUAUUUUCACGAACCGGUUCUCCGAUAGUUGUCGCUUUUUCAACUCUAUUUUUUGAAUAGGUAUGGAACAUUCAACCCAUGAAGUUCUCGAACAUAGUUCUUAAUAAAAUCUAUUAUGGCUAACCCUGUUCUUCUUUUCUCCUCAUGCAUCUAUUUUUUUCGUUCAGUCCAUAUUACCAUAAAGCACAUACAAACAGACAACAUUUAACACUAGAAUUAUUUUCAAAAAACCAAUUAACCCAUUCCAUAAAUCUAUGUAUAAUACUAAACCUAUCCAAUUCCAAUUCAACUAAUGUCAUAUCUCCUUUGUCACAAGGCAAUCACGCAAAGCAUGUUCAUUGGUUUCCACCUCACCUACGCACCUUGGGCAUAAUGUUGUAUUUGCUAAUCUCUUGUAUUGUAGACUAAAUAAAGUAGAAAUUUUUUUGUGAAACACCAAAUUGUAAUAUUCAAUUUUAGGGGUAGAUUCAAACCCCAUAAUUUCUUGUAAAUAUUUGCAUGUUCAAUCUGGUUGUAUAAAUGAGUAGCCUCGAUAGAAUGUUGCAGUAGAAACUUAUAGGCACUACGAACUGAGAAUUCCCCUAACACCUCUCCUCUCCACACCUGGUAGUCUUCAUGUUGGAAUUUUGACAACGGAAUGUUCAGGAUUUGUUUUUAGCAUCACUUUCACAAAAGUCUCGACUCUUCAGCAUAACCCUUCUUGGAGGAUUCCCUUGACCGCCCAAACACUCUUCCAGGUAUAGGAAGGUAUAUUUCCUAAACUUGCACUCAGAAAAUUUGUGUCUGGGAAGUAUUUAGCUUUCAAUGUACGAGUAAGUAAUGAACUGGGAAAAUUAAUCAACCUCCAAUCUUGUUUAGCAAGUAAAGAUAAAUUGAAUUUAGCUAAACUAUGAAAACUCAAACCCCCCAUUCUCCUUUAAUUUGCAUAACUUCCUUCGUUCACACCAAUGAAUCCCCCUCUUACCAUGACCUUUUUUCCAUAAAAAAUUUGCACAAAUACUCUCUAUUUCGUGACAAAGCAAUUUUGGUAGUAAAAAAAAUGUCAUUGAAUAUGUCGGAAUUGCAUGUAUGCCUGAUUUUUUAUAAAAAUCUCUUUCCCUCAUUGCGAUAAAUAUUUUAUACUCCAACUGUCAACUUUACAUUUCAUACGGUCUUUUAAUAGUUGGAAUGCAAUUCCUUUCCCUGUCCAAUCAUGUUAGGUAAGUCGAGAUAUUCUUUAGGGUUUGUAGAGCUUCGAACAUUUAAAUUUUGCAAAGCUAAUUCCCUCACCUGUUCAGAAGUGUUCAUGCUAUAGAAAAAAAUAGACUUUUCAUAAUUCACACAUUAUCCUGAAACAACGUCAUACUCAUUAAGGAUCAUCUUCAAGGUUUAUGCCUCCUUGUUGAAGCCUCCCCAAAUAAAAUACAGUCAUCAACAAACAUUAAAUGAGAGAUCUACGGAUCUCGUCGAUUUACUCUAGCCCCCUCCACCAAACCCUCUCUCCUAGCCAGUCUCAUUAAUGACGAGAGACCCUCACUACACACCAAAAAUAAAUAUGGACUUAAUGGAUCCCUUUGCCUUAAGCCUCUAGUAGGAUGAAAUCCCUCUCUCUCUUUCCUAUUAACCACGAUAAAGUACGAAUUUGAGCUUAUGCAAUGAAUAAUGGACUCCACCCACGAACUUGCAAAGCCCAUCAUUAACAUCAUUUGACAUAAAAAAAGACCACUCAACUCGAUCGUACUCUUUGCUCAUAUUCAAUUUUAUGCCAAAAAUCCCUUUCUUCCUGUUCUUUUUUGCUUAAACGCAUGUAGAACUUCAUAAGCAAAAAGAACAUUAUCAGAAAUCAACCUACCCGGAACAAAGGCAUUUUGAGCCUCAUCAAUAUAGCAUUCUAAAACUUGUUGGAAUAGAUUAGCGACAGUUUUAGAAAUAAUUUUAUAAAGUACCGUACAAAUGCUUAUAGGCCUAAACUUUGAUAAGUUCAUAGGCUGAGCAAUUUUAUGAGAACAAUAUAUGUAACAUUGUGAGAAUCCAGUGACAUACUUUCAUUCAAAAUAUCAAGGCAAAAUAUACUCACACCUCGACCGAUAAUGUGUCAAAAAUGCUAGAAGCAAAUCGCCGGAAAGCCAUCACUUCCACCCCAGAAAAAAUAUGCACCGUAUUUCCCACCCCUUUCGUGGAAAAAAAUAUUCAUGAAAUAAUUCCGGGCAAUUUCCUCCAUUUCACACUCAUUAUUUGUUAUAUCUCCCACCUCAUUUUCCAAGACUCUAAUCCAGUUCAUGUGUCUCCUUUGGGAAGCAAAUUUAUGAAAAAAUGCGGUACUCCUACCUCUUAUCCUCAACCAAUUUUCCCGAUCCCUCUGUUCUUAAUACGCUUUUUCUUUUUCCAUCUCCAAAUUUAGAUGUAAUUUACAUCUAUAAUUUCUGCAAGGUAGUUUUGAGAGCAUCCAAUUUUGACAAAACAUUACCCCACGUUGAUUCCCAUAUUCAUCACACCACUUCUUCACAAGAAUCCUCUGGAACCCACUAGACUUCAUAUCUAAAUUUCCUCCACUCCCUCCCUUUAUUUACCUGAUCUGUUUGAAUUAAAAGUGGGCAGUGAUCAGAGAAAGAAUAUGGUAGGUGCCUAAUUGAGAAAUCAGGAAACAAAUUACCCUGGAAGAGAAGGAAGAAAAUUAUGCUUCCAUUAUCGAAAUUCACUUAUGUGAAUUUUCGGUAUGAAAGGCUCACUUUAUUCUGCUUCUUAUGUGGAUGCUUAGGCCAUAAUGACAAGUUUUGUCCUGUUAGGUUGAAUUGGGGGAGAGAUGUCAUGGAGUUUGGAUGGAAUUUGAAUCUAAAAGUGCAACCGAGGAGAGCGACAAUAGUGAAUAGUAUCUGGCUUCGUGAGGAAGGUGAUGAUGAUUUUAAGGAAACAAUUAAGGGAUGAAACGAGGAGUGAUUUGUGGAGAAAUAUUAAUCCUGUAUUGGGUUUUAAUUUGGAAGGAUCUCCAAAUCAUGACAUUUUGAAUCAAAACGGAUUUUCAAGUGGAACGGGUUGGAUCAAUAUGGAACAUGAAAUUGAGGAGAAUCCAAUUGAGAGCGUGGGAGGUAAUUAAAGGCCUAGAGCUGAUUUGUUGGACUCUAAUGUUUCUGAAUUAGCAGAUUCGUUAGGGGCCUUGGAUGAGCAACCGGAUAUUUAUCUACAUCGGUUAUUGACGAUUGCCAAUGGGCAAACCGAUUGGUGCCAUGAAAAUCUUGGUUAUACAAUUGUCUUCUUCUUGAUGAAGACAAAAUUGAAUUAGACUUCUUUUUAACUUUAAUCGUUUUUGUUCAUCUUAUUUUUGUGUAAUUUAAUUUAUCGUCGGAAUACAUUUAUCUCUUUUUAAUGCUAGUGGAUUUUACAA